AUACUUCACAAAAAUAAACAUAAAUAUAUUUUUUACCUCACAUAUAAACUCUUUACAUAUUCAUAAUAUCAUAAAUCAGUACAAUCUAUAAUACACAUUUCACUAUCAAAAAUGUAUCACCAACAAUAAUUCAGCCACUAAAUAAAUAAACUUCAAAAUCAUUGCAGAAACACCUUUGUUUAAAUUUCAAUAACAUUAACACUAUUAACUACCGGUAACUUCUGUACUAUUAUUUCAGACAAACCAAAAUGUGAAAUUUUAUCAUUUCAAGAAAAACCAGAAGUAAACCUGGAAGGCAGGUACAGAGAGUGGAAGGAGGCACAUGUUGUUACAAGCCAGCAGCCAAACAACAUCACAAAUGUCAGGAUACACCAAAGCUUCCCACAACUUCAAAGAGGAUUCAACAUGGCCACAAAUGUCACCUUCACACCUGAUGGGACCAUGCGUUUUAACGCAAAUACUAAGAUCCUAUCGGCACAACCAUUCAACAUCAAUGAUGAUGUUGUACAACGUUUUUAGAUCCGCCAACAUCAACAAUUACAGAAGUUCUUGCCUCUGCUGUAAACACUAGCCACAGUGUUGAAGGAAAAGUUAUCCAGGCAUAUCCAAGAACUACGCCUGGAGUACCGAGGCGUACAAUUUACCUCACAGAUUCCAGUCGACAAAUCACCAUCAAACUGUGGGAUGAAAAGAGUGAACUAGAUGUCCCAACACACAGACCUCUAAAAAUAAGUCACUUAAGGACAAAUAUUUAUCGAGGUAACAAGGAACUGAACUCAACAAAAGAUACAACAGUUGAGAUUCUUCCACAAGUGAUAACCACAAAAACAGGAACUAUUGAUGCUGUUGGAUUUAAUGAAGAUGAACAGCUUCUUUUCUUUGAAGAGAAACUGUACCAUUGCAUGCACAGAUAUCUUAAAGAAAGCAUUUCGAACAGAAUGGUCACAACUCAGAAGUUUGAGAUGACAUUUGAGGGAGAUGUUGUUGUUUCAAUGACCCCAGCUACAGAUGACGACGAAAAAGACACUAAACACUCCUGAACUAAAGACUUCUCCAAUUCAUGCUAUGGUAUCCAUGUGCUUGUAAAAACUUCAUCCAUUCCAAGUUAAUCCAUUCUCGUAUUCUUAUGCUUUUAAGAUUAUUGUUUAUUUGUUUCAUAGCUCAAUUUAGUUUCAAUUUUGUUUUUAUU